GCAGUAGCCACGGUAAUACGAAGGGUGCAAGCGUUAAUCGGAAUUACUGGGCGUAAAGCGUGCGUAGGCGGUGAGUUAAGUCUGCUGUGAAAUCCCCGGGCUCAACCUGGGAAUGGCAGUGGAUACUGGCUCGCUAGAGUGUGUCAGAGGAUGGUGGAAUUCCCGGUGUAGCGGUGAAAUGCGUAGAGAUCGGGAGGAACAUCAGUGGCGAAGGCGGCCAUCUGGGACAACACUGACGCUGAGGCACGAAAGCGUGGGGAGCAAACAGGAUUAGAUACCCCGGUAGUCCCUGUCUCUUAUAC
rnacentral:rRNA from 1 species